AACGAACGCUGGCGGCAGGCCUAACACAUGCAAGUCGAGCGCGCCCUUCGGGGUGAGCGGCGGACGGGUGAGUAACGCGUGGGAACGUGCCCUUUUCUACGGAAUAGCCUCGGGAAACUGAGAGUAAUACCGUAUACGCCCUUUGGGGGAAAGAUUUAUCGGAAAAGGAUCGGCCCGCGUUGGAUUAGGUAGUUGGUGGGGUAAUGGCCUACCAAGCCGACGAUCCAUAGCUGGUUUGAGAGGAUGAUCAGCCACACUGGGACUGAGACACGGCCCAGACUCCUACGGGAGGCAGCAGUGGGGAAUCUUAGACAAUGGGGGCAACCCUGAUCUAGCCAUGCCGCGUGAGUGAUGAAGGCCUGAGGGUUGUAAAGCUCUUUCAGCUGGGAAGAUAAUGACGGUACCAGCAGAAGAAGCCCCGGCUAACUCCGUG
rnacentral:rRNA from 1 species